rnacentral:tRNA from 1 species
GCAUUAAUGGGGUAGUGGUAACCUGGGUCGUUGCCAUUGGCAAGUAAUUUCGACCCGCCGGGGGUUCGAUUCCCCCUUAAUGCA